rnacentral:rRNA from 1 species
GACGAACGCUGGCGGCGUGCCUAAUACAUGCAAGUCGAACGCAGUGGGGACGGGUGAGUAACACGUGGGUAACCUCCCAUCAGAGGGGAUAACACUUGGAAACAGGUGCUAAACCGAUACUGAUGGAUGGACCCGCGGUGCAUUAGCUAGUGGGUGAGGUAACGGCUCACCAAGGCCACGAUGCAUAGCUGACCCGGGAUGUUGGGCAGCUCCACUGGAACUGAGACACGGCCCAGACUCCUACGGGAGGCAGCAGUGGGGAAUCUUCGACAAUGGACGGAAGGCUGACCGAGCAAGGCCGCGUGGGUGAAGGAGGUUUUCGGAUCGUAAAACUCUUUUGUUAGAGAAGAGUUAUCUAACCAGAAAGCCACGGCUAACUACGUGCCAGCAGCCGCGGUAAUAC